CACGGUUUCCUGCACUACUCAAUCUCUCGUUGCUGCCCACCAUCAUCUUCCUCCCUCUGCCAUGACCUUUCGAUGUUCCCUUCCCAAAUCGAAGAAGCCUUCUAUCAUUUUUAAAGCCUAAAGAAUGGUUCAUGAAUCAUAAGGUAGAGGGAAUGGAGGUUCACGUAAAUGAGGAUGGGGUAACACAAACUCGUGGUGGGAUUUACUGGUUGAUCUUGCCUGCUGGAUUGGACACUUCGAGGACUUUGUAUUGGUGCUCUAAGCUAUGGGUAUUAGUCCAUGGCCUUCCAACAAAUUAAAUUUGCCCCAAUUAUUUCCGUAUGCUAAGCAUACCAACAAUGGAGAUUUUAAACAUUUUUUCUCCACAUAAGGGCUUUUAUAGAGUGUUUCACAAGCUGAAGAAGCACAUACGAUAAUUCUUGUGGCUGCAAAUGACGUUGCUUUCUCUAUGCAUGCUUUCUUUUGAAAGCAAUUACCUUGUUCGAGAUUGUAAUAUAUGAUGUAGGUGGCACCUUUGCAACACCUCUCAAUGGGAAGGCCCUUGCUUCUUUUUGUGUUAAUGGCUGUCCUAUGUUUAUGAAGAUUGCUUCUUUUUGUGGUUGUUUCUUCUGCAAUUAGAUUUCUUUUUACAGCUAAGGUAUAUGGCUUGCAUGUAUUUAUAGCUAGUCGUUAUUUUCAUCCAAUGACAAUAUUAUUUUGAA